rnacentral:rRNA from 1 species
AUUGAACGCUGGCGGCAUGCUUUACACAUGCAAGUCGAACGGCAGCACGGGGGCAACCCUGGUGGCGAGUGGCGAACGGGUGAGUAAUGCAUCGGAACGUAUCUUCAAGUGGGGGAUAACGCACCGAAAGGUGUGCUAAUACCGCAUAAUCUCUACGGAGAAAAGCAGGGGAUCGCAAGACCUUGCGCUUUUGGAGCGGC